CAGUCGCCACGGUAAUCCGUAGGUGGCAAGCGUUGUCCGGAAUUAUUGGGCGUAAAGGGCUCGCAGGCGGUUUCUUAAGUCUGAUGUGAAAGCCCACGGCUCAACCGUGGAGGGUCAUUGGAAACUGUUAAACUUGAGUGCAGGAGAGAAAAGUGGAAUUCUUAGUGUAGCGGUGAGAUGCGUAGAGAUUAGGAGGAACACCAGUGGCGAAGGCGGCUUUUUGGCCUGUAACUGACACUGAGGCGCGAAAGCGUGGGGAGCAAACAGGAUUAGAUACCCCUGUAGUCCCUGUCUCUUAUAC
rnacentral:rRNA from 1 species